rnacentral:rRNA from 1 species
UUGGAGGGCAAGUCUGGUGCCAGCAGCCGCGGUAAUUCCAGCUCCAAUAGCGUAUAUUAAAGUUGUUGCAGUUAAAAAGCUCGUAGUUGAAUUUUGGAUUCUUCCAAUUGGUCCAUCUUUUAGAUGAGUACUGGUUGUGUGGGGUCUAUCCGCCUGGUAAUACGUAAUGUCCUUUAUUGGAUGUUGCGGGUAGUCAGGACCUUUACCUUGAAAAAAUUAGAGUGUUUAAAGCAGGCUUAUGCCGGAAUACAUUAGCAUGGAAUAAUAGAAUAGGACGAAGUUGUUUUAUUUUGUUGGUUUCUAGGACAACCGUAAUGAUUAAUAGGGAUAGUUGGGGGCAUUAGUAUUCAAUUGUCAGAGGUGAAAUUCUUGGAUUUAUUGAAGACUAACUACUGCGAAAGCAUUUGCCAAGGAUGUUUUCAUUAAUCAAGAACGAAAGUUAGGGGAUCGAAGACGAUCAGAUACCGUCGUAGUCUUAACCAUAAACUAUGCCGACUAGGGAUCGGGCGAUGUUGUUUCCAUGACUCGCUCGGCACCUUAUGGGAAACCAAAG